rnacentral:lncRNA from 1 species
UAAGUAGGAGGGGGGAAAUUUCCUCAGACUGUGUGUUCUCAGAGUCUGCCAGCAAAGUGAAAAGCAUAUAGACAAGAUCCUCAAUAUUGCAAGAUCUCUGGCAUUGAGAACUUUGGGGAGUAUGGCAAUUCUGAUCAGAAAUCAGUGCAUUACAGCAUUCACAACAGUUUGGACAACACACAAUGCUCCCCUGUCGAGUUAGAGGCAGCCAUCUACGCCGCAUCCAAGUUUGCCACACAGUCUCGAACCUUUUCCGUCCACAUGCGCAGUAAAAUUGCCGAAAUGAUUUAGGAUCUGGCCACACCUGUAAAUACCAAGCUCAAGCUCAAGCUCAUCCCCAUCUUGCAGUACAUGCACCAUGAUGCUUACACGGCCGCCAUAGUUCGACGUUUGUGCACCCAGCUACCCAGCCCCAAAAUUUCGUCUGUGUAACACUUCACACACUAACUCUGAUGACUAGUGAAACUCUAGUCGAAUUCCCGCAAUAGCUACUCCUGCUUCUUGAAUAUCUUGUUCGAUUCAAGUUUUGUCCAACUUAAAUUUUGUCUGUCAAAGUUGCCCAUCUGUGGACUACUUCUAACGUGGAUGGACUCUUUGGCCUACUGCUUGAUCAACCUAAUCUCGAAUUGCAUAGAUUAGAAGGACACUGGACGUUCUAGUUACCCUAGCCAUGGCUGAAGCCUCGAACUGUUUUUUCCUCAAGGCCGAUACAAAGUUACACUUGAUUUGGAAUCAGUGUUGCUACACUUGUGACCAAUCUGAUGCAGCAAAAGCAGUUCAGCUACUUGUUCAACUUGUAGUUAUAUCUAGCAAACAAUAUUCUUUUUCGUCCUCAGCGCCCGAUUAAAGCCAAGACGCUGCCCAUGCUGUUGAAUCGCUCAUAUUUGGCCUCUGCUUAUUGGGAAAGACCGAAGAGAGGAAACUCAAGAAUGCGUUGAAAUCAGCCGCCCAGCUGAGUCGUGUCGCCAGAAAUCAGCGCCACCAUCAUUGAUUGCCUCAUUCGCUUGUUGCCUCAAUCUUCCGGUUCCAUGUUAGUCCUGCUGUGACAGGCUCUGGCUACCAUCGGAAAUACUCAACCGGCCGCCAUUGUCCGCAUCUGCAGCAUUGGUCGCUAUUCAUAGCAACCGGCCGCCAUUGUGGUUUUCUUCCGUUCGACGAAAACUUGUUCAGCUGUUGUCACUUCUGGCCACCGUCGCGGUCCGCUGUCCUAACAUUCGUUCUCGUCGCAGUGGAUCUCGGGCAGGACCUCUGGUUCGCCUAUCACAACUCCAGACGAAGUCUUCAUUUUUCAGGUUCCUGCUUCUCUCUACAUGAUCCUGGCCGCCUACAAUUUGCUACCGACAAUGUUAAUCGGCUUUUUCGUCGCUAUCGUUCACUUGACAGCGAACGCGUUACUCUUUCAGACGAGAAAAUCGGUCAACAACGAAGUUGACAUUUCUCUGAUCAUGGCUGAUGUCGGAUUUUAUCUGACAGCCAACGUUGUCGGCAUUUUCACCAAUUGCCUGAACGAGACUACGCUGAGAUGGGCCUUUCUCGACCGUCGCUGGUGCAUCGAGUCCACCAUCAAAUUGGACUACGAGAAGAGUCAAGAAGAACAGCUGAUGCUGUCCAUCUUGCCCAAACACAUCGCCCACGACGUGGGCACCGACAUCAGAGAGGAAGUCUAGUUGAUGACGAGAUCCAAAAUGUCGCCGUCGUCCAGGAAACCGUUCGAACAGUUACACGUCGAGAUGAUCCGGAAGUCAGUGUUCUUUACGCCGAUAUCGUCAACUUUACUCUGUUGACUGCAGCCCUCUCGGCGUCCAGCCUCAUCUCCAUGCUCAACGAAUUUUUUGGCAAAUUCAACGAGGCUGCCAAAGAAAUCGAUUGUUUAAGAAUUAAAAUCCUCGGUGACUGUUAUUGCUGCGUGUCUAGAAUACCGGACUCGACCACCACCCAUGCUAAGAAUUUUGUCGGAAUGGGAUUCAAGAUGAUUGAAAUCUAUCGCCAAAUUAGAGAGGAUCGCCAAGUGGAUGUGGACAUACGGAUCGGCAUUCAUAGUAGCAGCGAGCAGCGUUAUCAGUGGUCUGCCUUCGCAAGUGGCAGUUUGAUAUCUGGACCCGUGACGUGAUCAUCGCCAAUCACAUCAAACAAUCGAUGUGUGCAACCAAGAAUCUGCUGGGGGAUUCUAAUCAAUUUAAUCCCGGGAACGGAAUGAAACGUGAUACUUACCUGGCAAAACUGGGAAUUGAGACCUUUCUAGUCGUUUCAACCAACGCCAAUCAAUCGAAGGAAUCUGGAGUCUAAAGGAUCAAAGUUAAAGCCGAUCCUUUCGCAUCGCUUCCCCGUAUGAACGCUGUUGUUGCUAUGACUUAUGAGUUAUGAAGUAGCUUCCACAAAAAAUCAUUGGGUUGACUGUGAAACAAACAAUUAACUCAAUAACGAUGCUGAAAAUUGAAAACUCAUCGCUUGACAGUCUCUACGAUUGACUCCCGCCAAGCCUUCCAGUAGCGGUUGCUUACCGUAUUCCGCCAUCGUCAUCAUUACGUCACAUCUAUGCGAAAAUGCGACAGUCAUCACUAGCGACAGGUGACGAACAUUCUGAGGAAAUUUACAUCCGGCUAGUGAAAAAUCCCAGGAAAUCUAGUGUGGCUAGCGGAACUGGAAGACGUCUUUGCCAGGAGGCGAUCGACGACUGGUGAAAACACCUCACGACGGGGUGCAGUUUUGAUGGACAACACUUUAGUCAGUUUCCGGCGGAUGAUGGACCAAGCCGAUUCUAAGAUGGAAAAAUCCAUCGAAUCCAUGUUAUUAUCAAAAGUCAGAAGACGAUCCAGGGCGACUCCGGACCAGGAAUCGCACGUCAACCUUUUUCUUUUCUUCUUCAACCGAUCCUGGGAACUUCCUUUUUUGCAGCGUCCGGAUCCUUUGUUCAACCUUUACGUCUUGGGUGCCAUUCCAGUUCUGAUUGGGAUCAUGACCAUUCAGCUCACUCUCUAUAGUA